rnacentral:rRNA from 1 species
UGGGGAAUAUUGCACAAUGGGCGCAAGCCUGAUGCAGCCAUGCCGCGUGUAUGAAGAAGGCCUUCGGGUUGUAAAGUACUUUCAGUCGGGAGGAAGGUGUCAAGGUUAAUAACCUUGGCAAUUGACGUUACCGACAGAAGAAGCACCGGCUAACUCCGUGCCAGCAGCCGCGGUAAUACGGAGGGUGCAAGCGUUAAUCGGAAUUACUGGGCGUAAAGCGCACGCAGGCGGUUGAUUGAGUCAGAUGUGAAAUCCCCGGGCUUAACCCGGGAAUUGCAUCUGAUACUGGUCAGCUAGAGUCUUGUAGAGGGGGGUAGAAUUCCAUGUGUAGCGGUGAAAUGCGUAGAGAUGUGGAGGAAUACCGGUGGCGAAGGCGGCCCCCUGGACAAAGACUGACGCUCAGGUGCGAAUGCGUGGGGAGCAAACAGG